rnacentral:rRNA from 1 species
AACGAACGCUGGCGGCAGGCCUAACACAUGCAAGUCGAGCGCUUUCCUUCGGGAAGGAGCGGCGGACGGGUUAGUAACGCGUGGGAACAUACCCUUUUCUAUGGAAUAGCCUCGGGAAACUGAGAGUAAUACCAUAUAAGCCCUUCGGGGGAAAGAUUUAUCGGGAAAGGAUUGGCCCGCGUUAGAUUAGAUAGUUGGUGGGGUAAUGGCCUACCAAGUCUACGAUCUAUAGCUGGUUUUAGAGGAUGAUCAGCAACACUGGGACUGAGACACGGCCCAG